CCUACGGGUGGCUGCAGUGAGGAAUAUUGGUCAAUGGGCGCGAGCCUGAACCAGCCAAGUAGCGUGAAGGAUGACUGCCCUACGGGUUGUAAACUUCUUUUAUAAAGGAAUAAAGUGAGGCACGUGUGCCUUUUUGUAUGUACUUUAUGAAUAAGGAUCGGCUAACUCCGUGCCAGCAGCCGCGGUAAUACGGAGGAACCGAGCGUUAUCCGGAUUUAUUGGGUUUAAAGGGAGCGUAGACGGGUUGUUAAGUCAGUUGUGAAAGUUUGCGGCUUAACCGUAAAAGUGCAAUUGAUACUGGCAUUCUUGAGUACAGGUGAGGUAGGAGGGAUUCGUGGUGUAGCGGUGAAAUGCUUAGAUAUCACGAAGAACUCCGAUUGCGAAGGCAGCUUGCUGAACUGCCACUGACGUUGAUGCUCGAAAGUGUGGGUAUCAAACAGGAUUAGAUACCCGAGUAGUC
rnacentral:rRNA from 1 species